GGUUUCUUUAGCUUAUUUGGUAAAGCGUCGGUUUGUGGCACCGGAGAACAGGGUUCGAUCCCCGAAGAUACCCCCA
rnacentral:tRNA from 1 species